AUUGAACGCUGGCGGCAUGCUUUACACAUGCAAGUCGAACGGUAACAGGCCGCAAGGUGCUGACGAGUGGCGAACGGGUGAGUAAUGCAUCGGAACGUGCCCAGUCGUGGGGGAUAACGCAGCGAAAGCUGCGCUAAUACCGCAUACGAUCUAUGGAUGAAAGCGGGGGACCGUAAGGCCUCGCGCGAUUGGAGCGGCCGAUGUCAGAUUAGGUAGUUGGUGGGGUAAAGGCUCACCAAGCCGACGAUCUGUAGCUGGUCUGAGAGGACGACCAGCCACACUGGGACUGAGACACGGCCCAGACUCCUACGGGAGGCAGCAGUGGGGAAUUUUGGACAAUGGGCGCAAGCCUGAUCCAGCAAUGCCGCGUGCAGGAAGAAGGCCUUCGGGUUGCAAACUGCUUUUGUACGGAACGAAACGACUCUGGUUAAUACCUGGGGCUAAUGACGGUACCGUAAGAAUAAGCACCGGCUAACUACGUGCCAGCCGCCGCGGUAAUAC
rnacentral:rRNA from 1 species